GAAUGGCUCAUUAAAUCAGUUAUGGUUCCUUAGAUCGUUCAUAUUACAUGGAUAACUGUGGUAAUUCUAGAGCUAAUACAUGCAAAAAGCUCCGACCGUAUGGGAAGAGCGCUUUUAUUAGACCAAAACCAAUGGAGCCGCAAGGUUCCUUUGUAUGGUGACUCUGGAUAACUUUGUGCUGAUCGCAUGGCCUCGAGCCGGCGACGUAUCUUUCAAAUGUCUGCCCUAUCAACUUUCGAUGGUAAGCGAUUUGCCUACCAUGGUUGUAACGGGUAACGGGGAAUCAGGGUUCGAUUCCGGAGAGGGAGCAUGAGAAAUGGCUACCACAUCUACGGAAGGCAGCAGGCGCGCAAAUUACCCACUCCUAGAUCGGGGAGGUAGUGACGAAAAAUAACAAUACCGGACUCUUAGAGGCUCGGUAAUUGAAAUGAGUACAGUUUAAAACCCUUAACGAGGAUCUAUUGGAGGGCAAGUCUGGUGCCAGCAGCCGCGGUAAUUCCAGCUCCAAUAGCGUAUAUUAAAGUUGUUGCAGUUAAAAAGCUCGUAGUUGGAUCUCGGGUGCCAGCGUAUGGUUCGCUUUACUGCUGUAACUAUACGUCUGGUCCUAAUUAAUCGGUUGGCCAAUUAUGUCCUUUAUUGGGUGUUUUUGGUAGCCGGUACGUUUACUUUGAGAAAAUUAGAGUGCUUAAAGCAGGCCUUACGCCUGAAUAAUGUUGCAUGGAAUAAUAGAAUAGGACCUCGGUUCUAUUUUGUUGGUUUUGUAGAGCAUUGAGGUAAUGAUUAAUAGGGACAGACGGGGGCAUUCGUAUUGCGNUGUUAGAGGU
rnacentral:rRNA from 1 species